UCGAAGGUAGCAUAAUCAGUAGUCUUUUAAUUGAAGGCUCGUAUGAAUGGUUGGACGAAAUAUUAACUGUUUCAUUUAAAAUUUUUAUAGAAUUUUAUUUUUUAGUCAAAAAGCUAAAAUAUAAUUAAAAGACGAGAAGACCCUAUAAAUCUUGAUAUUUAAAUUAAUUUUAAUUAUAAAGAUUAAUUAAAUUAUAAUUGGUUAAAAUAUUUUAUUGGGGUGAUAUUAAAAUUUAAAAAACUUUUAAUUAUUUGUUUACAUUAAUUUAUGAUUUUAUGAUCCAUUAAUAAUGAUUAAAAAUUUAAGUUACUUUAGGGAUAACAGCGUAAUUUUUUUGGAGAGUUCAUAUUGAUAAAAAAGAUUGCGACCUCGAUGUUGGAUUAA
rnacentral:rRNA from 1 species